rnacentral:SRP_RNA from 1 species
GCUGGGUGUGGUGGUGCAUGCCUGUAAUCCCAGCUACUCGGGAGGCUGAGGCAGGAGAAUCACUUGAACCCGGGAGGUGGAGGUUGUAGUGAGCAGAGAUCACACCACUGCACUCCAGCCUGGGCAACAGAGUGAGACUCUGUCUCAA